rnacentral:lncRNA from 1 species
GCGUGCAAAAGUUGUUCAUGUUUCCAAAUUUUGUUUUGGAAUUUGAAAAAUGUUCCUGUUUUUUAGGAAUUGUUCCUGUUCAGUUUUUUGACUAGUUUAAAAAAUGUUCUGUUUUUAAAAAAUGUUCGCUUCUCCAAAAUUCAUUUGCAUGUUUAAAUAUGUUUGAGUUUUCUCAAAAUGCUGAACAAAUUUGAAAAUUGUUCCCGUUUUAUUGUCGAAAGAAAUUGUGUUAGAAUUGAAAGCAUUCGGAUCGGCGUUUGAGUUUCUUGAGGUGUUGUGUUGUGCUGUAAUCAUUAAAGGUCACUAGCUCAACUGGUUAGAGUCAUAUGCUCUCAAGCAGCCGGUCUUGUGUACCUGUAGCGAAGACAGAAACAUGAUGAGGAACACAACCGUUAUACAUUGUUUUAAAUUUCAUCAGGUCAAGCAAACAGAAUCAAUCCCAUAUUUACCGCACUCCACAUCUAGAACCUGAAUUCAACAUGUUUGAAGUGAAAAAAACAAAGUCUUGCCGGGCAGGUCGACAGGGAGGAGGCAACAGCAAAAGAGCAGGAAUCAGGAAAAUCAUAGAUGGAAACAUGGGGAAACACCACCAGGCACAAACGAUAUAUGCUCUAGUGACUUAUGCAACCAACUUAUCAAGCUUGCCUAAGCAAAUAUCAAAAUACGCUUAUAAAUUACUUAAAUGCAAGGUAACUGCAGAAUGUUGAUGGAUGCAUCCUAACACGACAAAACAUAUGAACAAAAAUAGAAACUGCCACUAGUAGACAUCACACACAACUGUCAGAUAACAAAACAGAAACAGUUCGCAUCACCAAAACUGUUUGUGCAUCCACUUGCUUGGUUUUUCCUCAAACCUUAAACUCAGACAAGAAAAUCAUGUGAACUUCACAGGCCAACUCCACAAAGUGGAUGCUGAUUUGCUAUCUUCUGUUCCAUAAUUUCUAGUCCAGCAAACCACUUUAUUUUUCUUAAUUACCAGCAAAACAGAAGAAGCUACACUGACGACACCAAAUCAGAGCAAAUACUACUUGUGGAGCAGAGGAAUACAUCCUAACAAGUCAACCGAACAUGCUACACAAACGCCAUAUCAACAACAGACAGCCCCAGGCAAAGCACUACAACCAAUCAUCAUCAUGCUGCAUCAAACCCGAAAAUCCAAUCUCUAAACCAAAGCCCCUAGUCCACACUCAGACUCACCAAAUCAAAACUGCCCCUGUACAAGACGACGUUUGUCAAACCCUAGAAACACUGGAGAAGACACUAACACAGCUAUACACUCGAUCUAGCGGUACCACACAGAGAGAAGGAACACAUCGCGGGAAAUUGGCGCCGUUACCUUCAAGACGACGAACUUGACAAAGCCCAAUUCGAGGCCGAGCUUGAUGAAACCCUAGAAGACGCAGACCUUCACGGGAGCCUUGACGCCGCAGACCUUGAAGGAACCCUAGAAGCCGACGGAGACACUAGCCACCUGCAAAAAAACAUCUAGCCAGAUCAGACGAAUCGGGAGCGGGGGCAGUGGGGAGAGGACCGUCGACUGCUCACGAGGGGCGGCGGUGUAUUGCCGGAGUAGGAUCCCCGGAGGAAGAAGCAGGUGAAGAACGAGGAAGGGGGAUCCGGCAGG